AUACGUAGGGUGCAAGCGUUACUCGGAAUUACUGGGCGUAAAGCGUGCGCAGGCGGUUUUGUAAGAAAGAGGGGAAAUCCCCGGGCUCAACCUGGGAACUGCCUUUGUGACUGCCAGGCUAGAGCACGGCAGAGGGGGAUGGAAUUUCGCGUGUUGGAGUGAAAUACGUAGAUAUGAGGAGGAACACCGAAGGCGAAGGCAAUCCCCUGAGCCUGUACUGACGCUCAUGCACGAAAGCGUAGAACAAACAGGAUUAGAUACCCUGGUAGUUCACGCCCUAAACGAUGUCAACUGGUUGUUGAGUCUUCAUUAACACAGUAACGAAGCUAAAGCGUGAAGUUGACCGCCUGGGGAGUACGGCCGCAAGGUUGAAACUCAAAGGAAUUGACGGG
rnacentral:rRNA from 1 species